ACGCCGGUCACCGUUCCUGCCACGAAUCCAAUGCCGACACCGGUAACAGAUCCUACAACCAGUCCCGUAAUCCUGCCUCCAGUUGUCCCCAUCACAAAUCCUGCCAUAGCACCACCGGCGCUCCCAGUGACCAACCCUGUGACUCUGUCUCCACCACUGGGGAGCCUGCCAUUAAUAACACCUCCAACCACAAUGCCCGGGACUGUCCCGGUUUCGCCUGCUGUUUCG
rnacentral:misc_RNA from 1 species